GACGAACGCUGGCGGCGGGCUUAACACAUGCAAGUCGAACGGAAAGGCCCUGCUUUUGUGGGGUGCUCGAGUGGCGAACGGGUGAGUAACACGUGAGUAACCUGCCCUUGACUUUGGGAUAACUUCAGGAAACUGGGGCUAAUACCGGAUAGGAGCUCCUGCUGCAUGGUGGGGGUGGGAAAGUUUCGGCGGUUGGGGAUGGACUCGCGGCUUAUCAGCUUGUUGGUGGGGUAGUGGCUUACCAAGGCUUUGACGGGUAGCCGGCCUGAGAGGGUGACCGGCCACAUUGGGACUGAGAUACGGCCCAGACUCCUACGGGAGGCAGCAGUGGGGAAUAUUGCACAAUGGGCGGAAGCCUGAUGCAGCAACGCCGCGUGCGGGAUGACGGCCUUCGGGUUGUAAACCGCUUUCGCCUGUGACGAAGCGUGAGUGACGGUAAUGGGUAAAGAAGCACCGGCUAACUACGUG
rnacentral:rRNA from 1 species